GUGCCCAACAGAAGUAGCCUCACCCUGAGUGUCUGAAGCCAGUAUACACGUGAUGGAUCAUAUUUGAACAACAUAUCUCUGAAUAUUUAGGAUGAAUGAAGCCACCAUUCUCAUUUCUUGUGUCUACUCUGAAGCUAAUGGUGCUAGAAGAUCCCUUUUAUCUUGGUGUCACAACUCCAUCAACAGAAGGCCUGGGGCCUUGACUUCUCACAGGGGCAGACUGUGAACUGGACCUAUAAACCAAACAUUCUCUUCCUCCCUUGAACUGAGCUAGUCAAGGUCUUUGUUAUCACAGGAAGAACUGAAGAAACCAAUGCAUCUAAGGGGCCAGCACAUCCAGAGUGCAAAGGGUAAUCAUUGCCCUAGGAAAGACAACUUUUUGAUCCUGUUUUCUCUACCAGGAAAGUUCUUAUUUCACAAUUGUAAGGACGCUUCGGAAAAAGUUCAUGGAACAUUCAGUUGACAACUGUCCUGGUAUUCAAAUCAAAAGUGUGGUGAUACGAUUUUAUGAAAACAUCUCUUACAUUGAAAGUGACUUUGGUUUUGAUUGAGUCUCACAACCGAGUUACUGAUACAAUUUAAGACCGCUUAAGACUCCGCCGGAGAAGCUACCGUGGAUUCAUCCUUUCUUUUUACAAGAACAAUGUAGUCCAAAAACUUGUCUUAGACUUCCUGUGUACUUAGCUUUCAUAAGCUAAGCUAAUGCAUAGCUAUAACUUUAAAUUAUAUAUUGUGUCAUGCCCCUCGCCAUGAGAGCAAUA
rnacentral:lncRNA from 1 species